UGUCAUUACGUCCCAAAUCUGCUCCUUGCCUAAUACACCCGUUCCCGUAAUAGGUAUUCCCCCAUCCAGCGCCGAUUAGAGAAUCCUUACCCAUUUCUUAUUUUUGUUUCCUUUUUCUGUCCUCAUAGAUUUCUGCUUCUUCUUCCAUCGGUAUUUUUGUUCAUCAUCCCCCCGCUCAGCUAAAUUACUUCUUCCCUGUUGCUCCAUUCAUAUCCUAAAUAGAAAAUAUUGGGAAAAGAAUCCCAUAAAAUUAAAUAAAUUCAAUUUUUAGGUUGUGAUUGAUCGCCAUCGUCAUGGAUUCGUAAGCUUUUCUUUUUUCAUUUUUAUUUAUAUGUUCAAUUAAUUUUCUGAUGUGCGCUUUCAGUCGGCACUCUUCAAUUUCCAUUCAUUCUUAACGGUAGUGCUAUUCGGAAUCUGCACCUGCACUUACUUGAAGAUGCAAUUUCCAGCUAUCCUUGAACAGAGAACUGGGACACCAUGAAAGGCCAUCUUAUAACUGGGAGUAUGAUGUUCACAAGCUCAUGCACCUAGAGGAACCGACUUAAAUUUUCCUUUCACACGAUUGGCCGCUCAGCAGCACUAAUUAUGGGAACUGGCAACAACUUGUUCGCUACAAAAAAACAAUUCAAAGAUGAGCUUACUUGCACUGCAAAUUCACCACUCUUGUUGAACAUGAAGAGGGUGGUCGAGCGACAAAAUUUCUUGCACUCGAUAAUUGCCUUCCAGGGCGCAAGUUCUUGUAGAUUGUUGAUAUUUAAUAUGAUCCAGGACCUUAUGAGGUUCAAUACGAUGAAGAAUGGCUGGCAAUAACACAGAAAUUGAACUGUCUUUCCUUUGACCUUCUGACGUGGAGACUUUGGGUGUGUGUAUACAUGACAUUUUUGUUUUGGCCAUGCCACUCAUCUCGCUCGCUCUCUCUUGGGUGGUUUUUACAAGAACUAGUGAGCCGACAACUGCUGUUCUAAUAUGUUUAUGCAGAAUAUAAUUCUCAAGUUAUAUUUUGAUUUUAGUAAAUUCAUAUAAGAACAUUUUAUUAUUAAGAAUUUUAUGAAAUUAUAUAUCAUUAUUAAAUUAUAUUUAA